GAAUAUAAGAUGUGGGAUAAUAUAAGAAUGGGACAUUUUAUCCAAGUCAUCUCAAUGGUAAAAAGUGUCCCAAUCACCCUGAACUGGAGCUCUAAAAUAAUGUUAUUGACUUCAACUGAUGAAUGCAGCCAAAGAAAAGAUGAAGAAUGGAAAAGCACUUUGCUGGCAAAGAAAUUGGAAAAUAACACAGGUUACGCGCAUGUAUCCAUGGCAACGCUCGGCUGCUUCGACAGUUAACGGUCCUGCCGGUGAUUUUCUCAGAUGAGGCCUUGAGUUUUCUCUUUCGUCGGUCAAAAAGGUUAGAAGCCAUCGAAAAAACUGCCAUCGGACUACCACAGCUGACAACGAGAGACGCGCGUGCACAACUGCAUAACACACACACACACACACACACACACACACACACACACACACACACACACAC